rnacentral:rRNA from 1 species
AGAACGAACGCUGGCGGCAGGCUUAACACAUGCAAGUCGAGCGCUCGCAGCAAUGCGGGAGCGGCAGACGGGUGAGUAACGCGUGGGAACAUACCCUCCGGUUCGGAAUAACGCAGGGAAACUUGUGCUAAUACCGGAUACGGUCGAGAGGCGAAAGAUUUAUCGCCGGAGGAUUGGCCCGCGUUCGAUUAGCUAGUUGGUGGGGUAAUGGCCCACCAAGGCGACGAUCGAUAGCUGGUCUGAGAGGAUGAUCAGCCACAUUGGGACUGAGACACGGCCCAAACUCCUACGGGAGGCAGCAGUGGGGAAUAUUGGACAAUGGGCGCAAGCCUGAUCCAGCCAUGCCGCGUGAGUGAUGACGGCCUUAGGGUUGUAAAGCUCUUUCGCUAGGGACGAUAAUGACGGUACCUAGACAAGAAGCCCCGGCUAACUUCGUGCCAGCAGCCGC